GCCUGCACUCUCAUUAUGUGACCACCUCACCAACAGACGUUAGCCUCCCUCCUCAACUCAAGUCAUUUCGCCUCCGGCGCUCUAAACUGCGUCGCCUCUCGAAGCUUCCCGCUGGUUUAUCCUCCUUACAUUUGUACAAUUGCAAGUCACUUCACUCGAUGGAGGAUCUAUCGAAAUUGAAGGAGCUGUCGUCUCUAAAGAUUGAAUCCUCUGCAAUUUCAGAGAUUGAAGCCCUUGGUUGUUUGGAGAACCUAAAAGAAUUGGAGCUUCGUGGACUUGGACAGGUGAAGAUACUACCCGAUCUAAGUAAUGCAAACAAACUAAGACGUCUUGCAUUAGAAAAAUGUGGUAAUCUGGUUGAGAUUCAAGGCGAACUACCACAGUAUUUGGAAAAAUUGAAGAUUACUUUCUGUAAAUCUUUACGGAAGUUGCCUGAUCUGUCAAGCUUGAUGAGACUGCGAGAUGUUGUCAUACCUGAAAAUUUGGUUGAAAUUCAAGCCGAAUUGCCGCAACAAUUGUAUGAACUGGAGAUUGAUUCCUGUGAAUCUUUACAGGAGUUGCCUGAUCUAUGAAGCUCAAUGGGACUGCGAAAGGUUGUGAAAAAUCGUUGCAGGAAAUUAAAGGUGGAGGCAAUUUCUUCGCUUUGCUCGGAGAAGUCAGUCGAAUUUGCGGGAGUAGACAACGAAUCUGAAUCUUAAUCUGAGCAAGAAGACGUUGAAUCUGAAUCUGAACUGGAGGGAGAAGACAACAGAUUUGAAUCUGUACUGGAGGGAGGACAAGACAAAUCUCAAUAUGAAAUCUAAGGGAGAAGUCAAGGAAUCUGAAUAUGAAUCUGAGGGAGAAGAGCAAUAAGUGCACUCCUAUUGAAAGCUUCUUUAUUCAAGACCAUAAAUUGUUCUCUUUUGUUCAAACUUUAAACAAAUCGAGUUUAUUUUCCAGGAAAGGUGUGCUUCUUCUGGGGUUUGCAAAUGUUAGGGAGAAGUCAUAAAAUGAGGAAAGACAAUCUCACUUGGGUUCGCACGGCAAAACUUCCAUCUGUGACAGGAGAGAGGAGCUAUUUAGCUUCUCCGAGGGAGCUGUGGCUAAUUGGGCAGCUGCACAAAUGAAGACCGAAUAAAGGAAAAUGAAGAUGACAUUUUACGUCAACUAACUUCCCUUUCGCAAUCUUCGGGUGGUAAACUGUGCAUUGAUCUGUUGAGAGACAGAAACUUGAAUAUUAGUGAGGGAAGGCGUUGCCUAUUGAUGAAAUAGUUAAAUCUGUUGAACUCAAUGUGAAGUUUCAGUUGAAUAUUUUGCCCUUCUUUUCCA